rnacentral:rRNA from 1 species
UAUUGCACAAUGGGGGAAACCCUGAUGCAGCGACGCCGCGUGAGUGAAGAAGCGUUUCGGCGCGUAAAGCUCUGUCAGCGGGGAAGAAACACGGUUCGCGAGAGCCGCGGACGGUACCCGACCAAGAAGCCCCGGCUAACUACGUGCCAGCAGCCGCGGUAAUACGUAGGGGGCAAGCGUUAUCCGGAUUUACUGGGUGUAAAGGGAGCGUAGGCGGUUCAGCAAGUCAGAAGUGAAAGCCCGGGGCUCAACUCCGGGACUGCUUUUGAAACUGUUGAACUAGAUUGCAGGAGAGGUAAGUGGAAUUCCUAGUGUAGCGGUGAAAUGCGUAGAUAUUAGGAGGAACACCAGUGGCGAAGGCGGCUUACUGGACUGUAAAUGACGCUGAGGCUCGAAAGCGUGGGGAGCAAACAGG